rnacentral:lncRNA from 1 species
GAAAAUUUUUUGGUGACACAAUACAACUAUGGUUUCCAGAAAAACUUGAUUCUGAGGGUGAAAAUGUGACUCUUUCCUGUAACUACAGUCUCACUAGCGGCACUAGUGUUGUUAUCCAGUGGUAUCGCCAGUAUCCUCCAGCACAACCAGAGUUUUUACUUCUUGUCACUGAAUAUUCAAGCAAAUCUGAGCCCAAACUAUGUCUAUAUUCAGAAGCUAAAAAAAAAUAAAAAGUGUGGAUCUGAUCAAAUCCACAUAAAAGCAGCCUAUAAUUUAUGUUUCAUGGAUUAUCAUGUGUAACACAUUGUGCUGGUAUAACGUGCCACAAGAUGGCAGUGUUCUCAGAAAUUCACUAAGAACUAGCAAUGUGCAAUGAACAACAGAACUGAACUUUGGUAUAAUGUGGCUCAGAGAGGAGGGACUCAGUGUUCACAGAGCUGACAUGAUCUAAUUAUGUCUGACAGAGACUUUGGAAGAAUCUAUUCAGUCUGACUCUUCUCAGAGUGAACACUUGCACAAUGGAUCUUCAUUCAGUUAUUCUGUUCUGUGCCUUAGAAGCUGCUGUCUUUGGAAAUGUUAUCAAACCAAACAAAACAACUGUUGUUUAUGAGGAGGGUUCAAAUAUUAUAUUAAUCUGUAGUCAUUCCCCUGGAAAUUCAGAUUACCUCCACUGGUACCGUCAGUAUGGAAGAUCAAAACCUGAAUUUCUUGUACUCACCUACGGUAGUUCAAAGGAAGCUGCAGUGUCUGAUGUAGAUCCAAGAUUCACUGUUAAAGUUGAAAAAAGGGAACAAAACCAUGCGGAUCUGAAUAUCUCCUCUGCUUCUGUAUCAGAUUCUGCUCUGUACUACUGUGCUCUGGCGCCCACAGUGACAGGAAACACAUCAGCUCUCUACAAAAACCUGCUAUAAUGAGAGACAAGAGAGAAACACAGAGACAGCGAUGAAGACAGAGAGAAAUAAGCUGUAACUGUUUUGUGUACAGUAUACAUUAUUAUAUAGGUCAGAAAAACUAAUAUAACCAAUGAAAAUAUAUCACAGGCAGCUACUAAAAUCUAAUAGUAGACAAAUCAUUUAACUAGAAUAUGAAAAAACAACAAAAUAACCAAAAAAAAAAAAAAAUAAUAAUAAUUAAUUAAUCUUACUUACUAUUUUUUUUUUUUUUGGUAAGUGCUGUCAAAUGUGUUUCCAUUUGUUUUGUAAACUUUGCUUUUACAAUCAGAAAUCAGUUUAUUUUUGCUUAUUUGUUGACAGGUUUUUGGCUGGAGACAACAUUGAGCCAGAUAAAGGGACAGAAAAAACCUCUAAAGGAACACAAACUGUCAAGCUGAGCUGCUCAUAUAGUACAUUUAGUGAUUAUGUUUGGCUUUACUGGUACAGACAGUAUCCAAACAGGAACCACAUUAUUUGUUACCCAAGGGUGCACAAUCAUAUAGUUAUGAAGACACCUCUGAUGAUCGGUUUGAUUUGACUGCCCAGAGAUACAAAAUAUGAGACAUGUCAUACAAAAACCUUAAGCUCUUUUCACACACCACAAUCAAAACCCAAAUCUA